ACUAUUUUGGCAGAUUAGUGUGUUGGAUUUAGAAUCCAUUUAUGUGGAUUUAUACCACAAAUAGUA
rnacentral:tRNA from 1 species